AAAAACAAAAUAUGCCUUUAGAAUUAUCAACACUUGAUUUAAGGGAAUGCAUAUUGCAUUUUAACACCACCUUGUUCUUUCGUAGUCCCCAUGAAAUUAUGGAGGAGAUGCUCCAGAGGUGUCCUGAGGGCUGCCGGAACUUCAUUAGGGCACAACUGUCAGAGGCAGGGAAAAAGGACAGAGGGAGAAGGUUCAACAGGCACAUGAAGGAUCUAGGGCUGCAGCUGUUACACAGCAGCCCAAAGGCCUACCGUCAAAUGAAGGCCAUAUUCUCGCUUCCUUCUGGAAGGACACUUCGGCGUUACGUUAGCGCACGUGUGGGAUAUUUCUCUGUAAAUACGAAUUUAUUAAAUAAGACUACUCAACUUCGACCAGUUUCACAAUUUUAAGAUUGAACAAAAUCUGAUUAUUAACCUUUUAUUUCCUGACAGCCUGGCUUCCUACAGGGAAUCAUCUCCCAAAUGGGAGUCAUCGCCGCCACCAUGACCCCUGUGGAGAGGAUGUGUAUGCUCGUCCUGGACGAGAUGUCAAUCAAAAAACAAUUUGAUUAUGAUCGCAAGAACGAUGCCAUUUAUGGUGUAUCUGCAUCUGGGGCUGCAGCAAAACAAGCGAUGGUCGUCAUGGCUAGGGGCAUUAUGGGGAAAUGGAAGCAGGCAAGCCAUACCUUAGAAAAACAUUUGUUAUGAUAUUGCCGUGUAUAUUCAAACACAUUUACCUAAAGCAUGUCUUCCAACAGACGGUGGGUUACUUAUUUUCCUCAUCUUCAAUGCCAGCAGAUGAUAUUGCUACCGUCAUUAAGGAUGCCAUUCGCCACCUACAUCAUAUAGGGCUGACAGUGCAGGCAGUAAUAUGUGACCAGGGAAGCCCUAAUGUGAAGGCUGUGCGGAACCUUGGGGCUAGCCUGGACCCUCUGGGAGGUGAGGAGUCAGGCCCGGUUCUACGGGGGUGCAUAAGCAUGCAUUGCACCCCCAAAAAAGGUUACCCCCUUGUUGCACCCUCAAUUGAAAAAAUAAAAAUAAUAAAAAAAUAUUUUUUUUUUAUAAAUAUGAUAAAAAUAAUGAAAUACUUGCUCACAAAACAAAUUGUAAUGAAACUUGUGACAAUUUCCAUUAAAUAGCGUUGAGAUAUGAGCAUCCAACAUCUCUCUGACUGUUCACCAAACUGACAAAAUCACUCCGCAUUUAUGUAUGGUGUUUUGUUUAUAUGUUGCUUGGCAACACUCCGCUCAGUGGGGAUCUAUUUUUGCUGCCGGAAGCAAUUUCAUUCGUUUAUAUGAUUAAAUAAACUAACAAAUCACAAUCUAUUGUCAAUUAUUAUUAUUAACAGUACAUUUUACUAGUAUGUCCGAUGUUGUAUAAAGCAAUAUCACACUCGAGGUUGCAAUGUUGUCGCUCUAUAUCAGCGCUGCUGUGAUUGGCCGCCGGCCGGCAUCGUGUGUCAUGCCGGCGUCGUGUGCAAAAUGCACGCACCCAUAUCUAUGGUGCGCACGGUAGUGACGUUGAACUUCUUCGGCAGCAACAGUUGGAUAUCCAAUACAUGUAUUAAAUGUAUUAUGUUCAUAAGAACCCAUAUUUCUUUUUAUUGCAUUUAUUUACAAUCGUGUUAACUUUAAGAGUAUUAUACUGAUUAGUUUUUGUUCAAAGUUCAAAGUCUGAAGUGUUCUUUCCUUGUUCAGCUAAAAUCUGUUUUAUUUUUAAGUGGCAAUGUACAAUUAUUUGUUAUGUCAAAUAUCCUGCCACAAUUUAUAAAAAAAUAAACGUUAUUUUUGAAUUGCAGUCACAUGUUUUCUUUUUAGUGUAGAAUUCUGUUCUUUUUUACACCUCACACAUCACACUUAUCAAAAACCUAUCUCAUAUUCAAAGCUAUCUAAGAUAUCAAUAAGCUAAUGUUGCAGCUGAAAUGUUCUCCACAUCACAAGACAUGAUACGAUACCAUCUUUUAAGCACAGUAAUUGUUUGUUGUCCCAACAUGUCAGUAGAACUACGCAGAAGUGCUUGUCUAUGGUAGGAAAGGCCUAUGUGUAAAAAAGCGAAGUCUGAACUGAAGCUGGGUAGCUGGUUUUUGUAUAGUACUGGUGCACCCCCUGUAAUCUCAGAUGCACCCCAAGGCAUUCUGUUCUGGAACCGGGCCUGUGAUGAGUCCCACUGUAUCCUGGUGGGGGUUCAGAGGGUUCCUGUGAUUUUUGAUGUCCCUCACCUUCUGAAAUCAAUCAGGAACAACCUGUUCAAACAUGCCCUACAGGUAAGCACAGUAAACAAAGCAAUCACAAUUGCAAGGACUCAUACUGAACAUACAAGAUAUCACAAUGAUUCACAUAUGUAUGUAUUUACAUCCUUAGACACAAGGAAAAACGGUUCUUUGGAAGCACAUCAGCCAAUUCUAUGAGCUGGACAAGCUCCACACUAUUCGGAUGGCCCCGAAGCUUACUGAUAAGCACAUUCUGCUGCCAGCAUUUUCCAAGAUGCGUGUCUGCACAGGUGUUCAGCCACACUGUCUCUGCUGGUAAAUUUUUUCAUCUUCUCAAAAACUUUUCUUCAAUUACUAACAGCAGAUUGUAAUGUGACACUGACCACCUAUUCAAUGGUCGUAUCUGUUGUGAUCCAGGCAUUUCUGCGAUGGUAACAUUG
ensembl:lncRNA